GACGAACGCUGGCGGCGUGCCUAAUACAUGCAAGUCGAACGAGAGCGACCGGUGCUUGCACUGGUCAAUCUAGUGGCGAACGGGUGAGUAACACGUGGGUAACCUGCCCAUCAGAGGGGGAUAACAUCCGGAAACGGAUGCUAAAACCGCAUAGGUCUUCGAGCCGCAUGGCUUGAAGAGGAAAAGAGGCGCAAGCUUCUGCUGAUGGAUGGACCCGCGGUGCAUUAGCUAGUUGGUGAGGUAACGGCUCACCAAGGCCGUGAUGCAUAGCCGACCUGAGAGGGUGAUCGGCCACAUUGGGACUGAGACACGGCCUAAACUCCUACGGGAGGCAGCAGUAGGGAAUCUUCCGCAAUGGACGCAAGUCUGACGGAGCAACGCCGCGUGAGUGAAGAAGGUUUUCGGAUCGUAAAACUCUGUUGUUAGAGAAGAACAAGUGCUAGAGUAACUGUUAGCGCCUUGACGGUAUCUAACCAGAAAGCCACGGCUAACUACGUG
rnacentral:rRNA from 1 species